AUUGAACGCUGGCGGCAUGCCUAACACAUGCAAGUCGAGCGGAUGAAGGAAGCGUUCUCCUGUAUUCAGCUGCGGACGGGUGGGUAAUGCCUAGGAAUCUACCUGGUAUUUGGGGAUAACGUCCGUUAACGGGCCCUAAUACCGCAUACGUCCUUAUGUAGAAAGGGGGGGAUCUUAGGACCUCACGCUAUCUGCUGACCCUAGGUCGGAUUAGCGAGUUGGCGUGGUAAAGGCCUACCAAGGCGACGAUCCGUAACUGGUCUGAGAGGAUGAUCAGUCACACUGGAACUGAGACACGGUCCAGACUCCUACGGGAGGCAGCAGUGGGGAAUAUUGGACAAUGGGCGAAAGCCUGAUCCAGCAAUGCCGCGUGUGUGAAGAAGGUCUUCGGAUUGUAAAGCACUUUAAGUUGGGAGGAAGGGCAGUAAGUUAAUAUCUUGCUGUUUUGACGUUACCAAAAGAAUAAGCCCCGGCUAACUUCGUG
rnacentral:rRNA from 1 species